GACGAACGCUGGCGGCGUGCUUAACACAUGCAAGUCGAACGGAAAGGCCCUGCUUUUGUGGGGUGCUCGAGUGGCGAACGGGUGAGUAACACGUGAGUAACCUGCCCUUGACUUUGGGAUAACUUCAGGAAACUGGGGCUAAUACCGGAUAGGAGCUCCUGCUGCAUGGUGGGGGUUGGAAAGUUUCGGCGGUUGGGGAUGGACUCGCGGCUUAUCAGCUUGUUGGUGGGGUAGUGGCUUACCAAGGCUUUGACGGGUAGCCGGCCUGGGAGGGUGACCGGCCACAUUGGGACUGAGAUACGGACCAGACUCCUACGGGAGGCAGCUGUGGGGAAUAUUGCACAAUGGGCGGAAGCCUGAUGCAGCAACGCCGCGUGCGGGAUGACGGCCUUCGGGUUGUAAACCGCUUUCGCCUGUGACGAAGCGUGAGUGACGGUAAUGGGUAAAGAAGCACCGGCUAACUACGUG
rnacentral:rRNA from 1 species